CCUUCCAAAGUUUGCAAAUUUUGUAUACUUUUGUAUUGCAAUUUUCGCAUGCAAUACAAAAGUAUACAAAAUAUGCAAACUUUGCAA
rnacentral:miRNA from 1 species